rnacentral:rRNA from 1 species
UGAGGGAAUAUUGGGUCAAUGGACGAGAGUCUGAACCAGCCAAGUAGCGUGCAGGAUGACGGCCCUCCGGGUUGUAAACUGCUUUUAGUUGGGAAUAAAAAAGAUGACGUGUCAUCUAUUGUAUGUACCAUCAGAAAAAGGACCGGCUAAUUCCGUGCCAGCAGCCGCGGUAAUACGGAAGGUCCAGGCGUUAUCCGGAUUUAUUGGGUUUAAAGGGUGCGUAGGCGGCUUUGCAAGUCAGCGGUGAAAGGCCCGGGCUCAACCCGGAAAGUGCCGUUGAUACUGUGAGGCUGGAAUGCGGAUGCUGUGGGAGGAAUGAGUGGUGUAGCGGUGAAAUGCAUAGAUAUCACUCAGAACACCGAUUGCGAAGGCAUCUCACAAAUCCGCAAUUGACGCUGAGGCACGAAAGCGUGGGGAUCGAACAGGAUUAGAUACCCUGGUAGU